GACGAACGCUGGCGGCGUGCUUAACACAUGCAAGUCGAACGAUGAAGCCUAGCUUUCUAGGUGUAUUAGUUGCGAACGGGUGAGUAAUACGUGGGUAAACUACCCUUAACUCUGGGAUAAGCCUGGGAAACUGGGUUUAAUACCGGAUACGACCAAUCUCCCCAUGGGGUGUUGGUGGAAAACUGUUUGUAGUGGUUUUAGGUGGGCUCACGGCCUAUCAGCUUGUUGGUGAGGUUACGGCCCACCAAGGCGACGACGGGUAGCCGGACUGAGAGGGUGACCGGCCACACUGGGACUGAGACACGGCCCAGACUCCUACGGGAGGCAGCAGUGGGGAAUAUUGCACAAUGGGCGCAAGCCUGAUGCAGCGACGCCGCGUGAGGGAUGACGGCCUUCGGGUUGUAAACCUCUGUUAGCAGGGAAGAAGAGAAAUUGACGGUACCUGCAGAGAAAGCGCCGGCUAACUACAUG
rnacentral:rRNA from 1 species